GCCGCUGUAGCUUAGUGGUAGAGCAGCUGAUUCGUAAUCAGCAGGUCGGGGGUUCAAGUCCCCUCAGCGGCU
rnacentral:tRNA from 1 species